GAUGAAGAACCAGCGAAAUGCGAUAAGUAAUGUGAAUUGCAGAAUUCAGUGAAUCAUCGAAUCUUUGAACGCACAUUGCGCCCCCUGGUAUUCCGGGGGGCAUGCCUGUCCGAGCGUCAUUACAACCCUCAAGCUCAGCUUGGUGUUGGGCCCCGCCGCCCCGGCGGGCCCUAAAGUCAGUGGCGGUGCCGUCCGGCUCCGAGCGUAGUAAUUCUUCUCGCUCUGGAGGUCCGGUCGUGUGCUCGCCAGCAACCCCCAAUUUUUUUCAGGUUGACCUCGGAUCAGGUAGGGAUACCCGCUGAACCUAAGCAUAUCAAUAAGCGGAGGA
rnacentral:misc_RNA from 1 species